UGGGCUCACGAUCAGUAUCUCCAGUACCUCUUAUAGGCAGAUUUUUCCCAAGCUCAAAACUUCACUUCCUUUCAUUUUCUUGGCUGCCAAACACUCCUCCUUAGUAUGGGUAUAAUUUUUAGUGAAGAGAGGAUAAGGUUUUGAGGUGAAAUAAGGUGAGGUUUGGGAGCUUUAGUGAGCUUUCAUGGUGGAAUGGUUAUGGAAUUUGAGAGCUACGGGUGGGUUUUGUAAAAGUGAUGGCUGCUGGA
rnacentral:misc_RNA from 1 species